UACGAAGGGGGCAAGCGUUGUUCGGAAUUACUGGGCGUAAAGGGCGCGUAGGCGGUGCGCUAAGUCAGAUGUGAAAGCCCUGGGCUUAACCCGGGAACUGCAUUUGAUACUGGCGCGCUCGAAUCCGGGAGAGGUUGGUGGAAUUCCCAGUGUAGAGGUGAAAUUCGUAGAGAUUGGGAAGAACACCGGUGGCGAAGGCGGCCAACUGGACCGGUAUUGACGCUGAGGCGCGAAAGCGUGGGGAGCAAACAGG
rnacentral:ncRNA from 2 species